rnacentral:rRNA from 1 species
UGGGGAAUAUUGCACAAUGGGCGCAAGCCUGAUGCAGCAACGCCGCGUGAACGAUGAAGGUCUUCGGAUCGUAAAGUUCUGUUGCAGGGGAAGAUAAUGACGGUACCCUGUGAGGAAGCCCCGGCUAACUACGUGCCAGCAGCCGCGGUAAUACGUAGGGGGCUAGCGUUAUCCGGAUUUACUGGGCGUAAAGGGUGCGUAGGUGGUCUUUCAAGUCGGUGGUUAAAGGCUACGGCUCAACCGUAGUUAGCCUCCGAAACUGGAAGACUUGAGUGCAGGAGAGGAAAGUGGAAUUCCCAGUGUAGCGGUGAAAUGCGUAGAUAUUGGGAGGAACACCAGUAGCGAAGGCGACUUUCUGGACUUUUACUGACGCUCAGGUACGAAAGCGUGGGGAGCAAACAGG